AACGAACGCUGGCGGCAGGCCUAACACAUGCAAGUCGAGCGAAGCCUUCGGGCUUAGCGGCGGACGGGUGAGUAACGCGUGGGAACGUGCCCUUUGGUACGGUAUAGCCCCGGGAAACUGGGAGUAAUACCGUAUGUGGUCGAGAGACGAAAGAUUUAUCGCCAAAGGAUCGGCCCGCGUUGGAUUAGGUAGUUGGUGGGGUAAUGGCCUACCAAGCCGACGAUCCAUAGCUGGUUUGAGAGGAUGAUCAGCCACACUGGGACUGAGACACGGCCCAGACUCCUACGGGAGGCAGCAGUGGGGGAAUCUUAGACAAUGGGGGAAACCCUGAUCUAGCCAUGCCGCGUGAUCGAUGAAGGCCUUAGGGUUGUAAAGAUCUUUCAGUGGGGAAGAUAAUGACUGUACCCACAGAAGAAGCCCCGGCUAACUCCGUGCCAGCCGCCGCCGUAAAAC
rnacentral:rRNA from 1 species